ACGUGUACAUAAAGCAAACGACAGCAAUUAUAACAACAUGUUCAGCAGUAGCGUCAAGUGUGCUAGUGGUUUGUAAAAUUCUGUAACUCGUUAACAACAACUGACUGAUGUAUGUUUGAAAGUUACGAUUAUAUCGUUAAAAUGUUAUAAAACUUAUUUACCAGAAUCAGUCUUAUAGGAAUACUAAUAUUAAUUGAAUAUGUUUAAGUAUCUACACUAUAUAUAUUUUACACUGACCUUAUAUUUAUUAAAGUCUGGUACCUCAUAGAUCAUAUCAUAUUGUAGAUCAUAUCAUACAAGAAACGGUUUUUUACAAAUAAAUAAAAAUAUGUUUUUGACAUCAUAGUGCAUUGUUUGUUCAACUGUGAGGUAUAAGGUUGAUAUUUAUAAAAAAGACUUUAUAUGAAAAUGAAAUUUGUAUUCACUAUUGUACUAGAGUGUACAAUAAUUUUAAUGUGUGAAUUUUCGGAUAAAAUAACAAUUUUGGAUAUAUGCGUUUAAAUUGAGAUGAAAUUUGAUAUCUGAAACUAGGAAUCAGUAAAGGUAGAUAAAUUGGAAUUCUCUAGAGUGACCUAUUAAAUGAAAAGGGAUAUUAUGUGGCAAAAUGUCAAAAAUAGCUGUGUAUCGGCGUCUCCACAGAUUAGUUUCAAAGUCAUCUGGAAGUUUUUAGGGUAAAAUUCCUUAACAUGUCAUAACCCACUCAUUUUAAUUUAUUCGAUAAAUUAAAACGAUAAGCGAUAAUUUUGACAAGAACUCAAAUAUACGUAUGUCACUUUACAGUAGAUGAAUACAUUUUUUGAUAAAAUAUUUUUUAUUAUAUACUUCAUGACUAAAAAGAAAGCUGUUAUUUUAUUAUGAAAAAUUUAUUUUUGCUAAUUAACCGUGAUUUCAGCAUCGAAUCACAAAAUUAAAAAUAUGACAUAAGACUUUAUAGUUACUAUUAUCUACUAAACGUAUUAUUAAGUGUGUCUACUUAAUAAGACACGCAGUUUCAAUAAUAGCUAUAUAAUUCAUACGACGUGAAUAUUCUUUGAGAUUGUUAAUAUAACUAUGGUAACAUUAACAUUGUAUAUUUAUUUAUAAAUAAAAAUACAUUUUUAAGAUACUUGUGAGCAACUCUAUGAUUCUGAAAUUGACGUGUAUAAUUAAUUAAUAAUAAUAAAAUGCAAAGUGAAUCAAACUUAAUUCCUAAUUAGGGAAAAGGUAAUAAACAAAGGAAUAAGAGGAGAAAUAUCAGUAACAAAAAACCAGUUUGGUUUUGUGCCUGAAAGUCGACGAUAGAGCCAGUUUUUUGUGUAAGACAAUUAAAAGAAAAGUAAAGGGCAAAAGUGUAUGAUUGAGUACCGAGUUAGGUUUUAAAGUGAGUAUUAAUGAGAAAAGGAGUCCCGAAAAAGUACACUAAUAUGAUAGAGGAUAUGUAUGAUGGCAAUUGUACUAGUGUAAAACGUGUGUCGAAGUAACAGAAGAUUCUAGGGUAAGAGUAGGAGUACAUCAAAGUGAUGCUUUAAACCCUUUAUUUCAUUUUAAUUUAUUUUCUAUAGUGUUUGAUGAAAUUACUAAAAAAUUACAAGAAGAGGUGCGUGUUGUUCGCUGAUUAUAUAGUGUUAAUAGGAGAAAAUAAAGAAGAAAUUAAUUAAAGGCUUGUGGUGGGAGAUCAGAUUUUGAAGAAAAGGGAUAAAAAAUAAGUAAGACUACAACAGAGUAUAUAAAGUACGAGUUUGACAAAGGAGAACACGAGGUAGGUGAAACAGAAAAGAUCGGAGAUUAGUGACAAUAGGCGAGAACGUGAUAAGAGAGGUGGGAAGUUUUAAGUAUUUAGGAUCGUUUAGGCAAAAGAACAGUGGUUUCAACGAGGAUGUGAGAAACGGGAUUAAGUGCGGAUGAGUAAUGUGGAGAGAAGUAUCUGAUUUGUUAUGCGAUAAGAGAAUUCCAAUGUAGCUAAAAGGUAAGUUCUAUAAGACAGCAGCGAGAUCAGAUAUGAAGUAUGGUUCAGAAUGUUGGCGAUUGACAAGAAAGUAGAGCAGAGAUGAUAUUGGAUAAGGAACGAACAUAUAAGAGGUUUGAGUUCAAGUUUAAGAUAAGGUUGGCCGACACCAAGUAGUUUUGAUAAAGGCGAGGAAAAAAAAGAAGAAGAAGAAUCAAACCUAAUUCCGGAUUUAAAUUAAAGCUAUCUGUUGGUUUCUUUUAUGAUGCACAUAUUAAUACGUAUUAUAGCAGAGGUUAGUUUUUAAGAGGCAUAGGGUUCAAGCCCUAAAAAUUAAAAUUAUUAAAUGAUCUAAACGUUUUAAAUAACACAUACAAUUUGUAAUAAUAUUGAAAUUAUAAUAAUUUUAUUGGCUUCACAAAUAAUUUUACUAUGAUG